UCAGGCCUAACACAUGCAAGUCGAGCGGGGUUUUCGGACCUAGCGGCGGACGGGUGAGUAAUGCGUAGGAAGCUACCCGAUAGAGGGGGAUACCAGUUGGAAACGACUGUUAAUACCGCAUAAUGUCUACGGACCAAAGUGUGGGACCUUCGGGCCACAUGCUAUCGGAUGCGCCUACGUGGGAUUAGCUAGUUGGUGAGGUAAUGGCUCACCAAGGCGACGAUCUCUAGCUGGUUUGAGAGGAUGAUCAGCCACACUGGAAGGGAGACACGGUCCAGACUCCUACGGGAGGCAGCAGUGGGGAAUAUUGGACAAUGGGCGC
rnacentral:rRNA from 1 species